UAGGGAAUCUUCGGCAAUGGGGGCAACCCUGACCGAGCAACGCCGCGAGUGAAGAAGGUUUUCGGAUCGUAAAGCUCUGUUGUAAGAGAAGAACGAGUGUGAGAGUGGAAAGUUCACACUGUGACGGUAACUUACCAGAAAGGGACGGCUAACUACGUGCCAGCAGCCGCGGUAAUACGUAGGUCCCGAGCGUUAUCCGGAUUUAUUGGGCGUAAAGCGAGCGCAGGCGGUUAGAUAAGUCUGAAGUUAAAGGCUGUGGCUUAACCAUAGUACGCUUUGGAAACUGUUUAACUUGAGUGCAGAAGGGGAGAGUGGAAUUCCAUGUGUAGCGGUGAAAUGCGUAGAUAUAUGGAGGAACACCGGUGGCGAAAGCGGCUCUCUGGUCUGUAACUGACGCUGGGGCUCGAAAGCGUGGGGAGCAAACAGGAUUAGAUACCCUGGUAGUCCACGCCGUAACGAUGAGUGCUAGGUGUUGGGUCCUUUCCGGGACUCAGUGCCGCAGCUAACGCAUUAAGCACUCCGCCUGGGGAGUACGACCGCAAGGUU
rnacentral:rRNA from 1 species